ACGGGAAGAAAUCAUCCGGGUUAAUACCCUGGGUGGAUGACGGUACCGUAAGAAUAAGCACCGGCUAACUUCGUGCCAGCAGCCGCGGUAAUACGAAGGGUGCAAGCGUUAAUCGGAAUUACUGGGCGUAAAGCGUGCGUAGGUGGUUGUUCAAGUCUGUCGUGAAAGCCCUGGGCUCAACCUGGGAAUGGCGAUGGAAACUGGGCGACUGGAGUGCGGUAGAGGAUGGCGGAAUUCCCGGUGUAGCGGUGAAAUGCGUAGAGAUCGGGAGGAACAUCCGUGGCGAAGGCGGCCAUCUGGACCAGCACUGACACUGAGGCACGAAAGCGUGGGGAGCAAACAGGAUUAGAUACCCUGGUAGUCCACGCCCUAAACGAUGCGAACUGGAUGUUGGUCUCAACUUGGAGAUCAGUGUCGAAGCUAACGCGUUAAGUUCGCCGCCUGGGGAGUACGGUCGCAAGACUGAAACUCAAAGGAAUUGACGG
rnacentral:rRNA from 1 species